rnacentral:rRNA from 1 species
AUACGUAGGUGGCAAGCGUUGUCCGGAAUUAUUGGGCGUAAAGCGCGCGCAGGUGGUUCCUUAAGUCUGAUGUGAAAGCCCCCGGCUCAACCGGGGAGGGUCAUUGGAAACUGGGGAACUUGAGUGCAGAAGAGGAUAGUGGAAUUCCAAGUGUAGCGGUGAAAUGCGUAGAGAUUUGGAGGAACACCAGUGGCGAAGGCGACUGUCUGGUCUGUAACUGACACUGAGGCGCGAAAGCGUGGGGAGCAAACAGGAUUGGAUACCCUGGUAGUCCACGCCGUAAACGAUGAGUGCUAAGUGUUGGGGGGUUUCCGCCCCUCAGUGCUGCAGCUAACGCAUUAAGCACUCCGCCUGGGGAGUACGGUCGCAAGACUGAAACUCAAAGGAAUUGACGGGG